GCGAUGAGCUAAAUUGCAUAAGACGAGAUUGACGCGCCUUUCGGCAAAGCACAAUGUGGAGUGCUGUCUCUCGCCGCAAUACGCGAAAAAACUAAGGAAUCCCUAUAGGGACCCUUAGUU
rnacentral:sRNA from 1 species